GUUCUUUUCCUUUUCCUUUAACUCUGAAGCCGACAAGCAGAAAGUUUUAGACUCUGGCCCGUGGUCUUUCUCCGGUAAUCUCCUCGUCCUUAAACAAUGCAACCCAGAUGUUCCUGAAAUGUGUUAUGAGUUCACUCACUGCCCUUUUUGGGUGCACCUGUAUGGCCUACCAUUUGGAAGAGUGACAAUAGAUAUUGUCAAAGACAUAGCAGCCAAGAUUGGUGAAGUUAUUGAUGUUAAACUCGAAUCCAAAGGAAAUAGCACCUAUAAGAUUGGAAAAGCCAGGAUUAAUCUUAACCUUGAUUCCCCCCUAAAAACAGGUGUAGUCAUUAAUCUGGGAAGCAAAAAGUUGUGGAUAGAAUUCAAGUAUGAGCGGCUCCCACACUAUUGCUACUCUUGUGGAAGAAUCGGACAUUAUGCCUCGGCAUGCAAAGAAAUACCGUAUGAAACCACAAGGUUGGAGGAGGACGUACCAGGUAACUUUGGGAAUUGGCUAAGGGCGGAAGUUAGGGAACUUAGCCCUUACGGUAAAGUUUUUUAUGGGAAACAAGCUGCACUCAUUGAUGAUCCAGAUAUUGUACCAGAAACACCUCUUGCCGCAACAACCAAUGCUAAUCAGCAAGUACAAAACGCAGAAGACCAGCCUAUCCUGCCCUUACAAAGUCAGUAUUGUAUGAGGGAGGCUACGAAACAAAAGACCGAUUCUCUAGCCAUAACUAUAAGGGAAGAAGGGGAACACAGAAGAGAAAUAACGGCUGUCUUGAUGAGGAGUCUAUGAUGAUUAUCUCUAAUGAACAAUUCAAAGAGCAAGAGAAAGAGCAGCAGCACCAAACAGCAAUCAACCGACCCCAAAACAGGGGUAAAACCAAAAACACCAAGCUUCCUACAUCAAAAAAAGCAAAGAGAUUUUCUCCUUAUGGAGCACAACCCUCAAAGACUCCAGCAUCUGACAAGUUACAACUAGUGGACAUUCCUAUUACUGAGGAGGAGCACUCCACACACUGGGCUUUGGUAGCUAGCCCUAAUAAGCCACCGGGGAAUCCAUGAAAUUAUUUAGUUGGAAUUGUCAGGGUUUGGGCUCACCCCUGACAAUUCGAGCUCUAAGAGUCCUCGUGACUCAGGAAAAGCCCAACAUUAUCUUUCUUAUGGAGACCAAGAAUCAUGAGCAGAUGGUGCAGUGUUGCAGAAGAAGACUAAAAUACCAAAACAGUUUUUUGGUGAAUCCAGAAGGAAUAUCAGGAGGUAUGGCUAUUUUAUGGGAUGACAUGAUUACCAUAACAGUAAAUUCAUUUUCAGCAUCCUAUAUAAAACACAGAGUGUCGACUCCAAGACAACAAGCAUCUUAUGAGACUCACUUUCCUACAUGCCCCGACAGAUUUUACAGAUAGAAUUCUCUUAUGGGGAGGAAUUACAACGAGUAAGUUUCUUAAAUCACCUACCCUUGGUUAUGUAUAGGUGAUUUUUAAUGAGUUGAUAUACCAUGGGAAAUGAUGGGGAAAGAAGAUGCCAGAAAAAUAUUCGCCCUUACAGCAUUCCGAGAAUUUUUACAAGCGUGUUCCUUAAUGGACCUAGAGAGCAAAGGGUGUGCAUUCGCAUGGACAAAUAGAAGAGAUGGUACAAAAAAUGUCAAAGAAAGGCUGGAUAGAGCUUUAUGUACCAUGGAGUGGAGAAUAACAUAUCCAGCUGUAGAAGUAGUCGCCCUACCAGCCAUCGGAUCAAAUCAUAGUCCACUCAUCCUGUCACUUUUUCCUACAACAAGUCGAAAACGUCGGGAUUUUAGGUAUGAAGCUUACUGGAUAGAAGAUGCAGAAUGUCGGAGCAUUGUAAAGCGAGCUUGGGAAGCGGCACAAAAUAAAAAUAUGGCUGAAAAAUUAUAUUCAGUAGCUGUCCAACUUAC
rnacentral:lncRNA from 1 species